CGGUCUGGAAUAACUCGGCGAAAGCCGUGCUAAUACCGGAUAGAGCUCUGUGUUGAGAUACAUAGAGAUAAAGCGGAGGACUUCUUCGGAAGCUUCGUGCCUUUGGAUGAGUCCGCGGCCCAUCAGCUAGUUGGCGGGGUAAUGGCCCACCAAGGCUAAGACGGGUAGCUGGUCUGAGAGGAUGAUCAGCCACACUGGAACUGAGACACGGUCCAG
rnacentral:rRNA from 1 species